GGGGUGCAGCAGGCGCGAAAACUUUACAAUGCUGGAAACAGCGAUAAGGGGACCUCGAGUGCCAGGUUACAAAUCUGGCUGUCGUGAUGCCUAAAAAGCAUUGCAUAGCAAGGGCCGGGCAAGACCGGUGCCAGCCGCCGCGGUAACACCGGCGGCUCGAGUGGUAACCGUUAUUAUUGGGUCUAAAGGGUCUGUAGCCGGCCGGAUAAGUCUCUUGGGAAAUCCAGCAGCUCAACUGUUGGGCUUUCAGGAGAUACUGUCUGGCUCGAGGCCGGGAGAGGUGAGAGGUACUUCAGGGGUAGGGGUGAAAUCUUGUAAUCCUUGAAGGACCACCAGUGGCGAAGGCGUCUCACCAGAACGGACCUGACGGCAAGGGACGAAAGCUAGGGGCACGAACCGGAUUAGAUACCCGGGUAGUCCUAGCCGUAAACGAUACUCACUAGGUGUCGGCCACGGUGCGACCGUUGUCGGUGCCGUAGGGAAGCCCCGAAGCGAGCCACCUGGGAAGUACGGCCGCAAGGCUGAAACUUAAAGGAAUUGGCGGGGGAGCACAAGGGCGAUUCGCGC
rnacentral:rRNA from 1 species